UGGGCAGAAAUGCACCAGGGAAAGGACAUAACGAAACUGGUUUUAUCAGAACAGCCUGCCUGAGAGAGAUCAAGCAGGGCACAGGUCACCAGGUAUGCCCCUGGGCUCCUGCCGCAGCUGAUCGGGUGCUAGGUGCUGAGGAUACACGUCUGGGAGAAAGCAAUUGGAAGAAAUGCAAAGCUCUUCAAAGGAGACCUAUAAAGUCAUCUUUGUUUUGUUCAUUCUUCUCAUGUUUCUGCAUUCUGGGCAUUCUCCUAAAUUGGGGAGAAACCAAAAUGCCCAGAAGUCAAAUUCUGCAACUGUCAUCAUGCAAAAUGUCAAAUGAGAGAACCAAAGUAUGCUGGAUUCUAUAUUGUUAGGAAGGGAUGGUUAAUUUGAUUGACUCUUGGGAGCUAUUUUUCUAGCAUUAAGUAAUUCUAGGGAACCCUUCUGUGAUCAUCUCUGAGUAAAUAAAGAAGUGAAAUUGCAAUUC
rnacentral:lncRNA from 1 species